rnacentral:rRNA from 1 species
GAUGAACGCUGGCGGCGUGCCUAAUACAUGCAAGUCGAGCGAACGGACGAGAAGCUUGCUUCUCUGAUGUUAGCGGCUGACGGGUGAGUAACACGUGGAUAACCUACCUAUAAGACUGGGAUAACUUCGGUAAACCGUAGCUAAUACCGGAUAAUAUUUUGAACCGCAUGGUUCAAAAGUGAAAGACGGUCUUGCUGUCACUUAUAGAUGGAUCCGCGCUGCAUUAGCUAGUUGGUAAGGUAACGGCUUACCAAGGCAACGAUGCAUAGCCGACCUGAGAGGGUGAUCGGCCACACUGGAACUGAGACACGGUCCAGACUCCUACGGGAGGCAGCAGUAGGGAAUCUUCCGCAAUGGGCGAAAGCCUGACGGAGCAACGCCGCGUGAGUGAUGAAGGUCUUCGGAUCGUAAAACUCUGUUAUUAGGGAAGAACAUAUGUGUAAGUAACUGUGCACAUCUUGACGGUACCUAAUCAGAAAGCCACGGCUAACUACGUG